GCCGGCAGCCAUAUCACCCUGCAACUCACAACUGGCAACCCACUGAAGCUAAGCAGGUGUGAGCCUGGUCAGCACCUGGAUGAGAGAGCUCCUGGAAAAAACUAAGGUUGCUGCUGGAA
rnacentral:rRNA from 1 species